GCCAGAACUGUGAGAUUCUGAGACUGUAACUGCAGUGUCCCAUGCCAAAGCAAACUGUCACCCCGAACCAUUGCCUGGCUUUACCUGGUAGGCUUAAGGCACUGAAGUGGGUUGCACAGAA
rnacentral:snoRNA from 1 species